AGUAAAUUAGCAGGCUAAAUUGUCCAACACCAUAGCAAAGAAAAUGUGAGAAGAGCAUAGCAAAAUGAGGCUUAUGGGUUCUGGGUUUUGGAGUAUGAAGUGCUAUCAGGCUCUGAGGAUGGUCAACUCUACCUUAGUGGUAGAGAGUCAUGGUCAAGAAGAGCGUCACAUAAAAAGCAUGACAUGAUCUUAGAUUCAAAAAAAUUAUUCUCUAUAUUAGUUCAUUUUCAUGCUGCUAUAAAGAACUGCCUGUGACUAAGUAAUUUAUAAGGAAAAGAGGUUUAAUUGAUUCACAG
rnacentral:lncRNA from 1 species